rnacentral:lncRNA from 1 species
CCAGUGCUCUGGCCACACGCUGGAACAGCCAAGAGAGAUGAGAGAUGGAGCAAAGCCACAGGGUGUAAACGUAGGCUUGAAUAAGGAGUCCAGUCAAAGAGCCGGAGGGACUCCCCUUCAUUGAGUUCCUCACUGUCGACACACACAGAGAGCGGGAAGGAGUGACCACACAUCCAGAGCCUGCUGUGGAGGAGACACAGCGACAGGCCUAUUCAAUACUUAUCUCGUUUAAUCUGCAUGCCAAUGUCAAAGCUUGAGGAGAUUAUGUGAAUUUGGGAAGGACACAUAGCAGAGCCAGGAUUCAAUUCAGAUCUGCUUGACUCCAAGGCCAUUCCAGAAAUCUCCCUUUCUUUAGGCCUUCUGACAUGAGAGUUGGGUUCUUUCUGCCAAGAUUUCCAUCUCUGACGAUCAUUUAAAUGAAUACAAGAGUGCAGGUGGGCUCUAAUCCAAUACGACUAAUGUCCUUAUGAGACGAGGAAAUUAACACAUGGAAAAGCACAGAAGGAAGACCACGUGAGGACACCAGGAGAAGAAGGCCACCUACAAGCCAAGGAGAGAGGCCUCAGAAGAAAGCAACCACACUGGCACCUUGAUCUCAGACUUCUAACCUCCAGAUUUGCAAGAAGAGCUGAUGGAGGUUUCUGAGCUAGAAAGGGCUUUGUCCAGAAUUGGGCUUUAAGCAAAUUAUUUUGUCAGUUGAAUACUGGAAAAUUUGGAGCCAAGGAGACCAUAAAAAGGAGACCAGGAUGACGCUGCGUCACCAGUUCAGGAUGUUCAGGUUGGCGGCAACAGUCCCCACCCUGUGCCAAAGGAAGGUUUCCAUCACUUCGAAUGGGAAGACACACUUGCGACCCCACUGUGCAGCCCUUGUGUGAUGAGAACUAUAUAAUGUUAUACCUCCUGUGCAAUUCCACGAAACAACCCCACUCUUCACCUACUCCUUGCAGCAGCGGCUGUGGUGUUGCUGUCUAAUUAUGCACAGUGUUGUGUGGGUGAUUUUCCUGAGUUGGACAGGACAGCUCCUCAAAGAAUUUUAUAUGUGUGUGUGUGUGUGUGUGUGUGUGUGUGUGUGUGUGUGUUCAGCCUUCCUCAGACCACCAAAAUAAAUCCUGUGCUUUCUUGCUCAAUUCUUACCUUUUUUGGUUCUAAUUGGAGAGUCAGGAAAGCAGUCUUUGGGUGGCGAGAGAAGGGGGAGGAGGACGAUAUCUGUGCCGGGCCUGGCGAUGGUGGGCCAGGUGUGGCUAAGAGUGGAAAGAAAGUUUCUCAAAAAAAAGUCAUUCUAAACUAUGUAUUUGGAUCCCGUUCAUGCUUUUUGAGAAAUGCAGGUAAAUAAUUUUUUAUUAUUUUUGGUUGUUAUAUUGUCUAUUUUGGCUAUGAUACUCCCCACAAAUAAACUAUGAAGACCCCUUACAAUAAAGAUUAUAUUUUAAUAAAAAGUAAA